rnacentral:lncRNA from 1 species
UUGUCAUCAAAUUUGAAUUUCAUUUCAUUGUACCUAGCAACUACAUAUAUCAAGUUAUCUUAAAUAAUACAACAGAUAUAAACCAAAUGACAACAAUAAUGAUAACAGUGAUAUCAAUACUAAUGCUUGAUCUUUGAUGUCUUCCGUUCCUUCCAUAUCUUUCCAGUCUUUGUUGUCUUUGUUGCCUUCGAUGUCUACGUUUAUAAUGUUCAUUUUCAUCAGUCCAUCGAAAGAAUACACAACCAGUACCAACUUGAUAUUUUUGACAGCCCCAAAAUAUUCUUCAGGGGUUGGUUGACGUUCUUGACAUCUUAAGUUCCGCAUAAAGUCCACAAUAACAAAUUCGAACUGUCAUGGUGUUGCAAAAAAUUACAUAAAAAUUUAACUUUCCAAUAUUAUAAACAUAACAGGAAAAAAAAUAAAGAACAAGAACUUAAAGAGAAAAAAUGGAAAAGAAGGAAGGAAAAAACUCAAAUUGCUCCAACAAUG